GGACGCGAUCUUUUCCAUUGAACUUUGAUUACAGCGAGAAAGAGAGAGCGCAUCGAAAUGGCAAAUUAUCUGUCAUUAUCCGUACUGCAACUGUGUGUGUUUGUUCGUACGUCUUUGUAAGCGAAACGACAUCACUGAUAACUUUUUGACAUCAGCUCGGCUCUGUCGACAAGUUACUCUCCUGCUUCCCCUAACAACGACUUAGUCUAAAGAAAAAGGUACAAACAAUAUGGGGGGUUGUGCGGAAGAGCGUAAGCAAUGGCAAAGUGCAUGCACACGACACUGCAACAGCGACAGAAACAGCAACAACUGUUGUAAAGCAAAGUGCAAAGUAAAUGAAAAGAGAGACAAGCAAAUGGGAGAGGGACAGUGACGAGGCACCGCCGACGCCACACGUGAAUAAUAAUUGAAAAAGAAGCGAGUGCAAGUGAAUAAGAUAGAUGGUAAUUAUGUGCUGUACACAAUGUAAAUUAAUGAGAAGGUGAGGCAGUGUGAAAGAAUGGCGACUGUGUGGGCAGCCAAACGAGAGAUAGACAGCAGCGAACCCCUGAACUAAUAUCCCCUUGCCAGAACACAUGUCUGAGAUGAGAUACCUGCCAAGGGGCGAGGGAAUGAGAAACUGGAAAACAGCGUAAUGAAAUAAGAAAAAUUGUCCAUAAGUAAUACUAGAAAGACCAAUAGAACAAUCCAAAAUAUGCACAAACAUACUAAAGAUCGCAGCAAAUGGGAUAACAUUAAAAAUCUAUUUAUGCUCUCUUCUUCCACCACAAGCGUGUUUAGGUAGCGGCGACUUGCUGAUCCGACAGGAAAAUCCUAUAUCAAUAACCUUAUCGCUGUCUGCCGCCAAUGGAAUGAUAUUCCAAGAAAUGUAAGAAAAUAAACAGAAACAGUAUGCGGCUGUGGCAGAAAAAUAUUAAAGACAGAGGGAGAAUGCGGGAGCGGUACAGAUAGCAUGCAUAGACAGGUCAGAAGAAGAGUCGAAGGAGGAGUGAGUGAAGCAAAGCCAAAGGAGAGAGAGCAUAUAGGGUUUGACACCUUUUCAGGUGUGAAUGAGACGCAGUGCUGUCCUACUAGUAAUGUUCCUCAUCUCCCUCUCUCUUAGCUGAUGGACAUGCCAAUAAUGCUAAUGAACGUAAAAUGCGUAAAUGAGAUAGAGGAAGAGCGGGGGAGCAAUCACAGACAUUAAACUGCUCUCUCUCUCUCUUUCCCCUCUCGAACUCUAUAUCGCAAAUACACACACAUACUGUUACUCCAUCUCCUGGGCCACUCAUCAAUGUUCCGAGCACGUUCUCUGAAUGUUUUUGGCGACGCAGGCAAACAGGAGGAGAAGUAUGUACACGUUGAGGAUGAAGAAGAAUAGCAAGAGAAGGAGUCGGAGUAGGAGAACGAGCACAUGUAGAUGGAGAAGCAGAAUAGCCAUAACCGCAGACCAGCAGAGACGGAGAGAGCAAAUGCCAAUUUUGGCAAAAACAAGUGACAAACAGGACAAAAGAUGGACGGAAUGGCAAAAACAAGAUUACUUCGAGUCGCCCCCCGAUUCCGACCACCACCCAAAAAGGGGGAGGGUAAAGGCCAUCGCAAUAUUCAUGCUGGGGAGUGUUGUAGUAAGAGGACGACCAUGUGUGUGUGUAGAAAUUGUUCGGUCCAAUAAGUCACACACCAACAACAAAAUGAAAAGGCAGCCAGCAAACAAACAAACAAACAAACAAACAGAGAGGUAGAGAGAGAGAAACAGCAAUCGAAAUUGGCAACAGCCGGAUGCUUUUGUUGGCCAACUACUUGACUGGUUGACGUUGGCACCGCCAGCCAACGAUAUUGGAGAUCAUCAUCAUCGUGACCAGAACCAGACCCAAACUACAGGAAAAAGCUAGAGAUGGUAGCAGAUUGAAGAAUUCACGACCACAGUUGAUUAAAUCACAAGAAAGUACUCAUAAAACAAUCGGAAAUCAAUCGUUAGAAGAACCCAAUCCAUUGAAAGCUGUACGACUUAUUCAUCUCUCACAUUAUAAAAUAAAAUAUCAUAG
rnacentral:lncRNA from 1 species